rnacentral:rRNA from 1 species
UUGGGAAUCUUGCACAAUGGGGGAAACCCUGAUGCAGCGACGCCGCGUGGAGGAUGACGGAUCUAGGUCUGUAAACUCCUUUUUCAUGGAAAGACUUAGGACGGUACCAUGAGAAUAAGGACCGGCUAACUACGUGCCAGCAGCCGCGGUAAGACGUAGGGUCCAAGCGUUGUCCGGAUUUACUGGGCGUAAAGAGCGCGUAGGCGGUCUGUUAAGUGUGAAGUGAAAUCUCCAGGGCUCAACCCGGAAACUGCUUCGCAUACUGGCAGACUUGAGGAAUGCAGAGGUUUGUGGAAUUCCUGGUGUAACGGUGAAAUGUGUUGAUAUCAGGAGGAACACCCAUGGCGAAGGCAGCAAACUGGGCAUUAUCUGACGCUGAGGCGCGAAAGCGUGGGUAGCAAACAGG